GACGAACGCUGGCGGCGUGCUUAAUACAUGCAAGUCGAACGGAAAGGCCCUGCGUUUGUGGGGUUCUCGAGUGGCGAACGGGUGAGUAACACGUGAGUAACCUGCCCUUGACAUUGGGAUAACUUCAGGAAACUGGGGCUAAUAUCGGAUAGGAGCUCCUGCUGCAUGGUGGGGGAUGGAAAGUUUCGGCGGUUGGGGAUGGACUCGCGGCUUAUCAGCUGGUUUGUGGGGUAGUGGCUUACCAAGGCUUUGACGGGUAGGCGGCCUGGGAGGGUGAACGGCCACAUUGGGACUGAGAUACGGACCAGAAGCCAACGUGCGGCAGCAGUGGGGAAUCUUGCGCAAUGGGCCGAAGCCUGAUGCAGAAACGCCGCGUGCGGGAUGCCGGCUUUCGGGUUGUAAACCGAUUUCGCCUGUGACGAAGAGUGAGUGACGGUAAUGGGUAAAGAAGCACCGGCUAACUACGUG
rnacentral:rRNA from 1 species